rnacentral:lncRNA from 1 species
UUUCAAAAAUAAAAUAGUUGAAAUAAAAUUUCAUAAAAAUAAAACCAAAAAAUAAUAAAAAAAUUAAAAAUAAAAUUAGUUAAAAAAUAAUAAAAGCAAAUCAAAAAAUAAAAAGAGGAAUACCUAUGAUUGGGUCAGGUUAGAACGCAGGUCAGCGCGUUGGUUAACGGGUCGAGGUGCAUGGGUUAACGGGUUGAGGCGCGGAUCCUACGCUACCAAAAUGGUACUAUUUUAGGUCAGU